rnacentral:rRNA from 1 species
UACGGAGGGUGCAAACGUUGCUCGGAAUUAUUGGGCGUAAAGCGCACGUAGGCGGCCUAGCAAGUCGGGUGUGAAAUCCCUCGGCUUAACCGAGGAAGUGCAUUCGAAACUACUGGGCUUGAAUACUGAAGAGGGUCUCGGAAUUCCCGGUGUAGAGGUGAAAUUCGUAGAUAUCGGGAGGAACACCAGUGGCGAAGGCGGAGACCUGGGCAGAUAUUGACGCUGAGGUGCGAAAGCGUGGGGAGCAAACAGG